UGGUCAGUGGAAGGGAAGGAAUUAGGAAUGAGGAAGAGUCGGCAAGGCAACAGUACUACCUUACCAGGAAAGGAAGCAAAGGCAAAGGGGUAUAUGGGAGUGAAUGUUUGAUCCCGGAAACGUGGCCUGCUUGCGGGUGCACAGCUUAGCUCGCCGGAUGUGGGGGGGAUCUUGUCCCGGAAAUCAAACCUAACCAACAGCCAAAACAUAUAUCAGGCCGGAAAACAAACUCUAAAGGGAAAAAAAGUAAAAAAAUAGGAACUGACAGCGGACGGACCUUUACCACACGAGGGCGCUGUAGGUGUUGUCACAGCGCGGCCAUUUAACCCACCCAACCUUGAAGUUUAGUUGGCCUUUAAUAAACUUCCCAAUUACUGAUACCGUUUGGGUCACUCCCUUAUGAUCACCGACUACUUAGUCGUCCAUCAGCACCCCUGAAAUUUAAGUCCUCAAAACAUGAUGUUUUGUUUCAACAAAACAAGUAAAAGAGCUUCAACUUUAGUUGCAUGGGCAAGCAUAUGCUGUGGAAAGAGUGUCGCUGCCGCCUCCUAAACCCAAAACAACCGACAAAGUUUUACCCAGGUACAUCCCUUCUAGACUAUGGACGACAUUUAUUCUUAUCAACCCGGCCGAGAAGUGCACCAGAGAACCCGGAUGAAGUGUUUCUCAACUCUUUAAAUGCCCAAAAAAGUUUUAUUGGUCGUGUG